rnacentral:rRNA from 1 species
UACAGAGGUCUCAAGCGUUGUUCGGAUUCAUUGGGCGUAAAGGGUGCGUAGGCGGCGCGGUAAGUCGGGUGUGAAAUCUCGGAGCUUAACUCCGAAACUGCAUUCGAUACUGCCGUGCUUGAGGACUGGAGAGGAGACUGGAAUUUACGGUGUAGCGGUGAAAUGCGUAGAUAUCGUAAGGAAGACCGGUGGCGAAGGCGGUCGUGCUGGGCAGUUUCUGACACUGAUGCGCGGACAGCGUGGGGAGCAAACAGG